rnacentral:lncRNA from 1 species
UUUCAAUCCACCAAAUAAAAGAGAAAUAAGAGAAGAAAAGAAGAAUGGGGAGGAGAGGGAGAGAAGCGAAGGGAAGAAGAGAGUGAGGAAGCAUUGGGACGAUUGGUGUGGCGGAGGGAAGAAGAAGGUUGAUAGAAGACAUCACGGGUGGCCUAACUACCGUGUGACCACCCCUCUCACGUAGGUUCUUCUUCCGAACGAUCCAAAUGUGAGUUCUUUUUCUUCUUCUUUCAUGAUUAUCUUCGUAAAUAGUUUAGAAUAACAUUAAUGAUGUUUAAAAUAAAUAUAUUUUAUGUUUGCUUAAUUUUAAAUAAAAAAUUUGAACUUAAAUAGAGAGAUGGUGAGAAUAGUUUGGUGUAGUGAGAGAGUAAUAAAAAUUAAGUUAUAUUCAUCUAUAUGUAUAUAUAUUUAUUUAGGAUAUAUAUAUGGUAAAUAUAUGUAUAUACAUUAUGCAUACGAGAUAUACAUAUAUAAAUUAUAAUGAAUAUGUGAAAAUGUAUUUAUUUGCAUGAUUUUGAUGUAAAUGUAUGAAAGGGAGCAAAAAAAUAUAUAUGUAAACAUAUAGAUACAUUGUGUAUGUAUCUUUUUCACGUGUCUAUGUAUAAAUAUAUAUAUAUAUAUACACACACAUAUAAUUAUGUAUAAAUUAAUGCAUGUGGGUAUAUAUGAUUAAAAUAAUAUUUUAUAGGCAUGUAUAAUCCUUAUAUUUUAAUAAGUAUUUAUAUAUGUAAACAAUAAUGUAUGAAGGAAUAUAUAUAUAUAUAUUAAAAUAAUAAUAAUAAACUUUAUAAUUAUAGUCAUAAAAUUUAGAAUAUGGUGUAAGUUAUAAGAAUAGAAGAAUAUGAUCAAUUAAUAAAUUUACAUAAAAAAAUUGUGUGUACUAUAAAUAUAUAUAUUUAAGUAUGCAUAGUGUAUUUGUGUUUAAUAUAAUGAUAUAUGUAGGUAUAGUUUAUAUAUAUAUAUAUAGAAAUGGGUUUUAAUAGAGAUAAGUAUGAUUACCACAAUAUGUAAACAUAUCUUAUAAAAAUAAACGGUAAUGGAGGGAGAUUUUACAUAUAUAUAUAAUGUUAUAAGUUUUAUAAUUAUAAUUAGAUAAUUGUAUUUUAUAAAAUAAAUAAUAAUAAUAAUAAUAUGAUAUAUAUAUAUAUAUAUGUACAUAAUAAAUGAGUAUGUGCUGUGUGUAUAUAAAUAUAUAAGCAUAUGUAUGUGUGUGUGUAUAUAUACACAUAUGGGAGAAGAAUAAAUAAAUUAAAAUUCAAUUAAGAAUUAGGUCAAUUAUGAUAGGUAUGAAAUUAUGGAGAAUUGAAUUUGAUUGAAUAAACAAUUAAUAAGAAUUAAAUUUGAUUGGAUGUGUAAUUGAUAAAUAGAUUAAUGUAGCCAUAAUCUAUAAUACUUAGGUAAAGGUAAUUUUAAAUACUAAAAGAAAUCAAUUUUGGAAAUUAUCUGAUUUAAUAAAUAUGUAAACAAAUUAAUAAAUUUUGUUUUGAAUAGAAUAGAUACAAGAAAAUAAUUUAAGGAAAUAGGAAAAGAAUAUUUAUAAUGAUUUCUUUUAGAGUUGAAUAAAUAAUAGAUAAAAUAAAUUAAAAAGAAAUUAUUAAUUAAUUAAAGUAAAAUUAAUAUAAAAUGAUAAGAAAGUAUUGUUUACAAAAUUAUGUAAUUAAUCAAAUGGAUAAAACAAAAAAAAGUUAGAUUGAACAAUCGCUUUAAUGUCUUGAAUAGUUGUAGAAACGAGAUGGGCAUGCAAUAUGAUUGCAUAAAACUCUUGGGUUCGUUGCUGACUCGAGAAGGUUUAGUUGCUAUGCAAGUUUUUGUUAAUAUUUGGAUAGUGUUUGGAAUUCAAAUCAAAAUCCUUUAACUCCAAAUUCUGUAAGUAUAUCUAGUAGCUAUCCCGAAGUCAUAUUCACAUGUUUUUAAAAAUGUUUUCAAGUAAAAACCUAAUUAAAUUUUAAGUAAAGCUUACAAAAUUAAAGAAUCAUGAUUUGAUAAUCAAGUAAGUGGAAGAAAUUGAAAAAUGGUGACAUGAAAUGUUUUAAUUUGUGAUUUGCUUGUUGCUUGAUUGUUGAAUGAAGAUUGCAUGUUUUAAAUACUGAAUGAUAGUUGAUAGUUGAUGGUAUGAUGAGUUGAAUAGUC